rnacentral:rRNA from 1 species
UCGCCUACGGGAGGCAGCAGUGAGGAAUAUUGGUCAAUGGGCGCGAGCCUGAACCAGCCAAGUCGCGUGAGGGAAGACGGUCCUAUGGAUUGUAAACCUCUUUUGUCGGGGAGCAAAAGACGCCACGCGUGGCGUUCCGAGAGUACCCGAAGAAAAAGCAUCGGCUAACUCCGUGCCAGCAGCCGCGGUAAUACGGAGGAUGCGAGCGUUAUCCGGAUCUAUUGGGUUUAAAGGGUGCGGAGGCGGCAGAUCAAGUCAGCGGUAAACUUGAGAGGCUCGACCUCUUCGAGCAGUUG